AUACGGAGGAUGCGAGCGUUAUCCGGAUUUAUUGGGUUUAAAGGGAGCGUAGGUGGGAUAUUAAGUCAGCUGUGAAAGUUUGGGGCUCAACCUUAAAAUUGCAGUUGAUACUGGUUUCCUUGAGUACGGUACAGGUGGGCGGAAUUCGUGGUGUAGCGGUGAAAUGCUUAGAUAUCACGAAGAACUCCGAUAGCGAAGGCAGCUCACCGGGCCGGAACUGACACUGAUGCUCGAAAGUGCGGGUAUCAAACAGGAUUAGAUACCCUGGUAGUCCGCACAGCAAACGAUGAAUACUCGCUGUUUGCGAUACACGGUAAGCGGCCAAGCGAAAGCGUUAAGUAUUCCACCUGGGGAGUACGCCGGCAACGGUGAAACUCAAAGGAAUUGACGGGG
rnacentral:rRNA from 1 species